UCUUCAUCCAGAGCAGUAGAGGGACUGGCCCAAUGAUACUGCAGCAACCCCUGUCAAAAGGUAGGUGCUGAUUCCAGCGGAAUAUUCCGACAGAUGAACG
rnacentral:ncRNA from 2 species